AAGUCGUAACAAGGUUUCCGUAGGUGAACCUGCGGAAGGAUCAUUAACACGUAUCCAAACGUAAAAAACCCCCCCCGUGAACAUUCAAUCCUGCUCAUAGCCCGGAAAGUAGUUUUGAUUUAGAGACCUCUGGCUACGUGAGAACAUUGGAACAGUUACAAUCGAGCGGUAGUUUCAUAGGCAUUGUUUCCCCAAGCAGUUAGUGUCUGAAAGUGUCACUGAUUGUGCAAGGAUAGCGCUUCAACGAUUCCUGUAGACCGUACACUCGGGCAGGAGCUAUGCCAAAGGGUCCCCAUGCCCCCUUAUAACCCCACAGUUUAAUGUGAAGCUCAAUGUAAUACAUUGGGUAAAAAAACCGAACAACUGUUAACAAUGGAUAUCUUGGUUCUC
rnacentral:misc_RNA from 1 species